GACGAACGCUGGCGGCGUGCCUAAUACAUGCAAGUAGAACGCACAGUUUAUACCGUAGCUUGCUACACCAUAGACUGUGAGUUGCGAACGGGUGAGUAACGCGUAGGUAACCUGCCUGGUAGCGGGGGAUAACUAUUGGAAACGAUAGCUAAUACCGCAUAAUAUUAAUUAUUGCAUGAUAAUUAAUUGAAAGGUGCAAUUGCACCACUACCAGAUGGACCUGCGUUGUAUUAGCUAGUAGGUGAGGUAACGGCUCACCUAGGCGACGAUACAUAGCCGACCUGGGAGGGUGAUCGGCCACACUGGGACUGAGACACGGCCCAGACUCCUACGGGAGGCAGCAGUAGGGAAUCUUCGGCAAUGGACGAAAGUCUGACCGAGCAACGCCGCGUGAGUGAAGAAGGUUUUCGGAUCGUAAAGCUCUGUUGUAAGAGAAGAACGGGUGUGAGAGUGGAAAGUUCACACUGCGACGGUAUCUUACCAGAAAGGGACGGCUAACUACGUG
rnacentral:rRNA from 1 species